UACGGAGGGGGCAAGCGUUGUUCGGAAUUACUGGGCGUAAAGGGCGCGCAGGCGGCUGCUCAAGUCAGGCGUGAAAGGCCUGGGCUCAACCCGGGAAUUGCGCUUGAGACUGGGCUGGCUUGAGUGCGGGAGAGGAUGGUGGAAUUCCCAGUGUAGAGGUGAAAAUUCGUAGAUAUUGGGAAGAACACCGGUGGCGAAGGCGGCCAUCUGGACCGCAACUGACGCUGAGGCGCGAAAAGCGUGGGGAGCAAACAGG
rnacentral:rRNA from 1 species